rnacentral:rRNA from 1 species
AUGAAGCUCGGGGGCGAGAUUGGAUCUGGUCAGCGGCUGGUCCGGCCGAUAGGAUGCUACACAAGGCGGGGGGUGACAGGCACAGGGCAGCGGGGCUCGGGUGGCGGCGCACGAUGGAGGGGAGUGGGGUGGUGGCGCGGGGCGGGGAUGCCGUACCAUACAACUCGAAUUAACCGAUGCAAGUCCAAGAAGGAUUGGCCAGUGCUGCCGGCUAGCGUCAAGUUCGAUCCCACGGAUCAGGAGCUGAUUGAACACCUUGAGCUCAAAGUGAGUGCUGACAGCGCGAGAUCUGACCCUCUCAUCGAUUUUUUCAUACCAACCAUCGACAGCGAGCACGGCAUAUGCUACACCCAUCCUGAGAAACUUCCAGGUAUCACACUGAGUGGCCUAAGCAAGCAUUUCUUCCAACGCAACUCCAGGGCGCUCAAAAGGGGCACAUGGACGCGUCGCAAGAUACAGUCGGAGUGUGGCAUGCACGCGAUGUGGCACAAGACCGGCAAUACCUUGCCAGUGAUGGUCAACGGCCGGCAAACAGGCAACAAAAAGGUUCUGGUUCUGCACACCAACAAGAACUUUGACCAGCAGAGGACUAACUGGGUGAUGCACCAGUACCACCUCGGAGACCUAGAGCAAGAGAAGGAGCGGGAGUUGGUCCUCUGCAAGAUUUUAUACCAGACGAACACUAGGGCCAGGACUAAAAAUAUUAUAAGUUAG